rnacentral:rRNA from 1 species
UACGUAGGGUGCAAGCGUUAAUCGGAAUUACUGGGCGUAAAGUGUGCGCAGGCGGCUAAGCAAGUCGAGUGUGAAAGCCCCGGGCUUAACUUGGGAAUUGCGCUCGAAACUACUUGGCUGGAGUGUGGCAGAGGAAGGUGGAAUUCCACGUGUAGCGGUGAAAUGCGUAGAGAUGUGGAGGAACACCAAUGGCGAAGGCAGCCUUCUGGGCCAACACUGACGCUCAUGCACGAAAGCGUGGGGAGCAAACAGG